GAGACACACUCAGCUGCCCCGCGGGGCGAGGAAUCAGUAUAAAGUGGAAUUCCGGCGUGUGUCGGCCGGGAGAAACCCUAACUCAGAUCUCGGUCACCUCAACCGCGCAGCGUCCCUUCCCGGCCGGCGAGACGCAGAUGCGCACAACUCCCUGAUCCAGUGCGCGCGCAGCCAGCGUGAGGCCUGGAGCCAAUGAGGGAUGGAUGGCAUGGUGAUGAGAUUUUGCAUCUCAUGUGGGAAUGCUAAGACUUAGCAAUGAGCAGACAAGUGAUUUUCCUAAGAUGAC